UUGGCACAACAAAAGAAAAAAAGUUUGCAAGUUCCUGGCGCGUUCGUUUCUUGCUUCGUUCACCGAGUAAGAAGCAAGGCAAAAGGAACUGACUUUACGCACAAAAAACAACGCAAGCCUUAAAGCGCAGCAGAAUGUGGAAAGCGUAGUAAAAAAAGGCAGUAGAUAGACAGCACGCAACGAAGGCCGGAAAAACGUGUGGAAAUGACUCGCUAAUUAAUUAGCUAAAUAGGCAUAGAAAAGCGGCGAAAGUAGGUGUACCUUCCUAGCACAACAACAACAACAAAACACUCCGAUUUGUUGCAAAAUUUAUACCAACCAAAAGGCUUAAGAUGACAUCAUACGCAAAUGACACAACUACCGCGGCAGCAGCACCACCAGCAACAACAACAACAACAACAACAGCAACUGCCACAUCAGCUGGCGAAGCACCAGUGGGUGCAGGAGCAGCAACAACUACACCAGGCAACGCCUCCCUGCCAGCUGUUGGGGACAUGGUCACAGCAUCUGAUUCAUCCAAGGCCAAGAGCGGGGACAGCCUAUCCAUCGGACGAAGGGUGUAUCCCGACGAAGAUGGCAACAGCAGCGAUGGCCGGGAAAAGGCCGAUACAACGCCGGAGAACCUCAAGAAAAUUGCGGAAAUCAUUGACAGUCCGGAUGGCUCCAAUCCGGCCAUUUCGCCGGUCUCCUUGUCACCCCGUCACGUCCAGCUCAGGAAUCCAACAGCAAAUCCCGGCUAUGUAGGCCUCGGAGCAGCCAUCGAUGAGUCCAGCGGCAAGUUUUGCCUUGGAAAGCCGCCACCAUCGCCGGCCGAAAAAGCAGCGGCGGCACAUAGCAGAGCCAACCAGCAACACCGGCAACAACUUGGCAACUCCUCAAAGUCAGCUCCCGAUGAGGAGGAGAACUCGAGCGGAUCGAAUGCUACCACGAAAGCAUCUCUGGCCUUCACCAUUGACCACUUUGACGAUGCCACGGAGAACGAUGCAGCGGCUCAGGCGGCGCGCUACAAGAAUAUGAUGGAGCGCUUCCAGAAUCGUCACAAACGGGGUGCCUCCAUGUCAAAGCUGGAGACGGAGAGGGAUAACAACAACACCGCCACCACCACAACCUCAAACAGUGGACGACACUCACAGCGAAGCAGCUUGGAUGCCGGAAGUAGCAUGGCAGAUGAUAUAUCCUCAAUGACAGCGGCCACACCAUCCAGCGAACAAGCGCCACCGGUCCAGGUGAAGAUGCGGGUGAGAGAUCGCAGUGCGUCUCGUGUGAGAGAUGCCUCCAAGCGGCACAGUUGGUCGCCAAGGAGCUCGGCGAAUGCAGCAGAAUCAGCGCAGACAGCGGCACCAAGACCCGCUAGUAGAUCCAAACUGCCAGCGCCACCGGCAUCCACCAAGGGUACAUCCAACUCGCUGGCCAAUCGUACGACCAAUCAGUUCACACCACGCUCCACGGCCAUGCAGCUGGCCCUGCGCCAGGUGGAGAUGCUGUGUCCAGAGCCACCGCUAGCGGAUGGCAAAAAUCUAGCAGAUGAUGCAGUGAGCGAAGCGGGAACAUACACCCUCGACGGGGACAACUAUACGGAAGAGCAAAAGGAUCUCAUGAACAUUGAUAGGAAUGGAAAGAAGAUAGGAGGAGGUGGAGGAGGUGCUGCUGUCAAGAUGCGGCCAAAACAAUUGCCGGUCAAGGCGAAUCGGGGUAGCAAUGUCUUAGAGGUAAACUUCUACCAUGAAACGCCGCUACAGGAGCAACUGCCACCAGCUCAAAGAAGCUCCACAGGUGCCUAUUUGGAUCAACUAAAGAGUCGCGUGCUCCGCCAGCCGGCUCCUCUAUCACCUCCCACUCCCCCAUCGCCGGCAGCGGAUGUGGGUUGCUUUACCAGUGUCACCACCAGUGGUGUGCUGGCCAAACAGCGUGCCCUGGACACACAUCCCAAGCUCACCCGGCACUCGCACAGUCUGUCCACCUCGCAGAUCGAUAGCUCCGAGUAUGUGAGCAAUGAGGCCAAGUUAAGGCAUACCCAGGCAUUGGCUGGUUCGGCCACAGAUCGCCAGAAGGCCGAAUAUCGCCUGAAUGUGUUCACCACCAGUACCAAUCAGCAACAGCAGCAUCAUCAUCAUCAUCAUCAGUUACCAGAGACACCCACAACGCCCACAAGCACAUCUCAGGGAUCAGAGGCUGCUCUGCUGCAGACGGCGCAGACCAAGCAGGAUUGGAUCCAGGAAUGGGCACGUAAUGCUCGAGCCCGUAGUCUGGCCCAGGAUGUGAGUGGAACCAGUGCCAGUCGCCGGAAGCAGCAGCAACAGCAGCAGGCCCAAGCACAGCAACUAAUGACACGCAGCUACAAUUGCUCGGACACCGGAGGCGACUCCUUGACGGACGACAGCCUCAGCCUGUAUAACCAGCAACAGCAGCGUCAAUAUGCCGCAGCCGCCAAGCUCAAUCGUAACUUGGCCGAGCGUUAUCGCCUGCUGGGUGACUGUGACUACGCCAGCGAUCCGGCGUUGUGCAGCCAUGGCGGUCAGGGCGCGAUGGAGCCACCAUAUAAGCCACCCAAGAGCCCCAGCAAGAUACCCUCACCGCUGCACACGCUGGGACGUGCGCGCAGUGCCAGUCGCUCGCGGCCGCCAACGGAUGCGUAUUUGGAGCAAACAGCUGCCGCUAUAAGCAACCUGCAGCAGUCACUCUCCCGCAGGAGUUCGGUCAAGUCACCGGCACAGAGCAGUCCACAGCAUAGCCUGGAAUCGGGCAUGAUGGGAGCGGGAGCAGGCGGUGGCUACAGGCGAUCGCCGCUCCAUCGAGCCCUCAUGACCAGCAGCAUCAAUGAGGCGCAGUUGCAGUUGCUAACCAGUGGAGAGUAUCUCCUCAAGCAGUUGCGUCGCCGCAAGAACUCCCUGGAGUAUGAUCCUGGCCAGGAGGUGGAGCAGGAUGAGCCUGUUGCCCCUGCCAGCCCCUUGUCGCCGCUGCGUCGUUCGACCAGCUUCCAACAGCAUCAGCAGCAGCAGCAGGGACAACAUCCAGUGCGGCAGGCUCGACCCAAUUUCCAGAACCUCUACACACCGCCCGCUGCCCGACAUGCUCGCGCCCUGAGCACCGCCCACCAGCAGCAGCAGUUGAAGAAAUCCGCCAGCAGCAAUAACUUUGAGCAGGCCUACAGCGACUACGACAAUGAGUUGCAGUACUACAUCAACGAUGAGGAUGAAAUGGGCACCACUGGGGCCUACUACUCCAGCAAUGAGGAGGAGGACAUGGAACAGGAACACGAAGGAACACAAGGAUCGGUGCCGCUGAGCAACACACGCAUGAACAAGGCCCUGCUGAUGCGGAUAGAGAGGAGCAAGCAACGCGUAGCCGGCGGAGGAUCACAGGCACCAGUAAAACCCACUUCAGCGCCAGCUGCUGGCAAGCUGAGCGUUGCACAAAGUGGCGCUGGUCUGGUGGCCUGUCCCAAUACGCCGGAGAUGCCACGCCGGGGUAUAAAAAGUGCGCCUAGGGCAGCGCCAGGAUCCGGUGGCACUCGGAACACUCGCCAGUCUAUGCCCAGGGAAACGAGUCUUAGUCGAUUGGCCCAACAGGUGCCCAGUUCGCUGGCCAAUGCCAAAAAGCAGCUACUGCAAACGGCCAAUGCUGGUGUCAACUCCAAUCCUGGCGGAGGUCAGCGUGUGCAGCCGAAAUAUCUAGACAUCUCCAAGUACAAGUCAGCGCAGUCGAAUAACUUUCUGCGAAAGAACGAUUCCAAGAGCACCUUGAAGCCGGCAGAUCAAAUGAAACGCAGUCCCAGUGCCUCCUCCAUGGGUCUCAGUCGUGGCGAGGGAACGCGAGCUAGCAAUCGGAGUGUGCGAAGUGCAGCCUCUGCCAUGAAUACCAGCACUACAUCGUUGGGUGGUGGCACUACCGGAGGAAGAGCCUCUUCUGCCGUGCGACGUGAUCUCUCAGUUAACAAACAAAAGGAAGCCGAAAUGGCCAUGUGGAAGAGACGCUCGACCUAUGAUCCCAUGAAGGCGGCCGCCGAGGAUCGACGCAAGAAGGAGGAGGCCCGUCGUGCCCAAACCAACCAGGCUCAGCGACAGAUGAACGAUAUGGCCGAUGAGGAAGUGCCUUUCGAGAGACCAUCACGAUCCCACUACCGCCGUGGACAGUUAUGACCAACGGAUGGUGUGCUAGUUACCGAUUUCUGAGCCAUUCAACCUCUACACAACCUAAACAUUCAGUCGAUUAUCUUUCCACGAAACCGAAAAAAAAAGAAAACCAAAUACUUUCCACAUGCCACGCGAUCCAAACACGGUGCAAGCAGCAGCAGCGUCAGCAGCAGAUUGUAUCACUAUAAUCAAAUUCUAGUGCCAGUUACAAUCGCCGAAUCGAAUCGAAUCCAAUCGAACAACGAUCAAUUUGAAAAAUGGAUCUAUCUUGGAUAGUAUCCACAAAAAUAGUAUAUAUAUUUACGAUUUUCCGAUGCAACACGACAACUAAACAAAAGAAAUAUACAACGAGAGCCAAGCCAAAGCCAGCCGAUGAUCCGAAUGCCAAUUGUGCUGCGUCCGGCCAACAAUCUGACCAUUACGAGCGGCGGCGUGAGCUACAGCCCGCGAAAC